AGUGUCACGCCAGCAUGAACGGGCUACCUUGAUGAGGUAAAUAAUGAGAAAAUUUUUCUUUGACACUC
rnacentral:tRNA from 1 species